CCCUGAUAUUGUUGAUACGGUUAAAUAGGAUGGAAUGGUGAUUGCCAACUGCAUGCUAUGCCAUCGCUAUGUGGUCCUUUGUUGUGAAAACUUAUUCACAAGCUGUAAUGCUGUUUUCUGUCAGAAACUAUUAGGAACCCUGAUGAUUGGAGUUUGUUCCACAGGCAGUUGAUGUGUUGCAGACGGUACUUUAACAAUACAGGUCAUCUAACGUUAUGUAACAGAGGUAAUUUAUGAUCUCAAUUGCUUACUGUCUUACUACUGUUCUUGUUUUGAUGUCAUUUUAUUUUAAUGUCAUUUUAUCUAAUUUAUUACAUUCACACAUUAUGUAAUGUGACUCUUUAUUUUGCAAUUUUUAUUAUUCUAAGUUCAGUACUGUCAUUUCCUACAUUUUUUAUGGUCAUUGAACGUCCCAUGUCACAGCAGACUUCCAGGCUGAGACACGUGUGUGUGUCGUCAAUCUGUUGUCUUCCACGUGACGGUUUAUGAAUGUAAAGAAAGCUGAUUGGAGAUUCACUAUGAUUGUUUUCACCAGGUACUGUGUAUUAUUUUGUCGUGUGUUAAUGUGUUAGUCUGUUGUCUUUCACGUGACGGUUUAUGAAUGUAAAGAAGGCUGAUUGGAGAUUCACUAUGAUUGUUUUCACCAGAAUAAACCAUGUUUGAGCCAGAAGAA